GAUGAACGCUGGCGGCGUGCCUAAUACAUGCAAGUCGAGCGAACAGACGAGGAGCUUGCUCCUCUGACGUUAGCGGCGGACGGGUGAGUAACACGUGGAUAACCUACCUAUAAGACUGGGAUAACUUCGGGAAACCGGAGCUAAUACCGGAUAAUAUAUUGAACCGCAUGGUUCAAUAGUGAACGACGGUUUUGCUGUCACUUAUAGAUGUAUCCGCGCCGCAUUAGCUAGUUGGUAAGGUAACGGCUUACCAAGGCAACGAUGCGUAGCCGACCUGAGAGGGUGAACGGCCACACUGGAACGGAUACACGGUCCAGACUCCUACGGGAGGCAGCAGUAGGGAAUCUUCCGCAAUGGGCGAAAGCCUGACGGAGCAACGCCGCGUGAGUGAUGAAGGUCUUCGGAUCGUAAAACUCUGUUAUUAGGGAAGAACAAAUGUGUAAGUAACUAUGCACGUCUUGACGGUACCUAAUCAGAAAGCCACGGCUAACUACGUG
rnacentral:rRNA from 1 species